AAAAUAUAAGCACAUAUCACAACUACUUUUCCAAUUCUCUCUCACAGUCGUCUCUCCCUAAGCUAGGGGCUCCUGUGGUAACGUUUCUCUCUAAAAAAUUAGCGACGGUAGAGUGGUAGUAUUGAAGGUCAAUUUCAGUGAACUUGACCUUCGAGGUAUAAUUUCACUGAAUGACGGUAUUGAUCCUGAGACGUGGUCUUCCUAUCUUCACUCACAUCUUCACUGAAUCGAGCUACACCAUAAUUAUGUUGGACAAUAUUUGUGACUCCUUGUAAUCUCCCACCUGAAUUGUGUGUGGAAGCAUAUGAUGUAUCAAUGAAACAAAACUUUAUAUUAUGUGCUACUUUGAUGUGGACUACAAAUGACUUUCCUGCUUAUGGAAUGAUGUCUGGGUAAUCGACUUCGGAACUGACUUGGACAGAUCGUCGCAGCCUGAAAACAGAACAGAAGUCAUACACUUUUGAAGUCAGAUUAUCAGCACUAUCAGAGGCAAGCAACUCUCACUAAACAAAAGUGAGCCUUUAAUUUAUUUUGAAUUAGUUCUCUUUCUUUUUUAUUGCAAAGUGAGUCCAAUGUUGGAUCAUUAGAACAAUUUCAGGGUUUAAAUUAUUCUAGUGUGAUAAUCUGAACGUUUGAUCAUACCAAUUGUUUGCAUAUUUUUUUGUUUUCCUACGAACUGAAUUCAGGUUCAAAAUUCUUCUAAGUUAAUUAGCAACAUAAUAAGCGACACUUUUUCUGUUUUGUUAUUUGGCUUCAGAAAUUGCCUUUCAAUCUGAAACAAGGUGUUUGGGUUAAAUCAUUAAGACGAUAUAGUUUAUGUUAUCAAGGAUGAUGCUUUCAUUAAUCAUCAGAAUUCUGUUCAACAGCUUUCAGUAAAGUUUUAGUAUCACUAUUUCAGUGUGUUGUCUGUUUUGUUCAAUUUGAUUGUUCUUUUUUUUUUUUUUUUUCAGGUGAUUAAUAAAGAAAUCAUUGGGAUCAAAAGGUCAUGGUAAUGGAUGGCGUAAGAAAGAUUUUGAAAUUUAAAAAGGCAGUAGAAUAUGACAGCAACACGAGGCUAAUUAUCGCCCCUGAUAGUUAUGGGUUCAUUACCGCAUAUAGCGCCGGACAUAUAGUUAUAGAAGUAAUUAAACCAUUUACACGGAGUCGUAGGGUAAUUGAAACGAGAUUCAACUCGACAUCAGAAUUCUUAUGUGGAAACAGUUUAUGAUAAAGUGUGUAUGGAAUUCUUGUCAUGAAAAUGAAAUACAACCCAUUUUCAAGUUGAAAGCAGCACUACAGAUCAAAGAACACUUGUAUGAGGUCCGGAGGAACUUGGAAAAACCUGGUUGGCUGAAUGCUGAUGUGUGGGUCAAGUUCUUGAAAAAGUGGGAUACUCCUGAAUAUAGGGCGAGGAGGGAAUGGGCAAAGGCAAAUAGAAUGUCUCAAACGGCUGGCUCAUUGCACACUAGAGGUUCAUGAGUUUUGCUACCCACCGAUGAAGACCGGAAUAUGAAAAUGAGGGAAAAGAGCCCAUUUUUCUUGAGGUCUACGAAGAGACGCAUAGAAAGAAAAGAAGGACGGUACAAGAGGAGAUUGAGUCAAAGCUCGUACUAAGAAUGCAUAUAAUUUCAAAAAAGUAUAGAAGAUUGGCGUCAAACCCAACCUACUUCAAAGGAUGGUACCAUGGUCCAACCAUCACCUGUAGGUAUGACUAAUAUGUGGACAACUAUCGUAGAUAGUCUAAAGAAAGGUAGAACCUACGGGAUAGUGGUUCUCCAAUCCUCGAGUAGUCCUUUGUUGUUUCCCAGUUCCUCUUCUACUUUGCAAACUAUGAAAGAAAUGGAAGCGAUGAAAAAGCAAAUUAUGGAAUUGACGUAGCAAUGUGUAGUUAACGAUGCUAAGUUUGCUAAAUUUGAGCAGUUGGUUAAGAAGAACAUGCCUCAAGUAUUUCAUGAUGAGGAAGAUAGUGAAUCUGAUGUUAAUUAGAUUGUAGUUAUUGUUCUUGUUUUUGGUUGUGACAUUUAGAUGUUUAAUCUAUUUGAUUUGAUGUUUGUUUUGGUUGUUUUAAAGUGGUUGUAUUUAUAAAUUUUUGUCGUGUUUGAUCCUAUUGUGAAAAAUACGUUAGUUAUGUUGUUUAUAAUCUGAGAGUAGCGUAAGCUAA